rnacentral:rRNA from 1 species
CUACGGGGCGCAGCAGUGGGGAAUCUUGGACAAUGGGCGCAAGCCUGAUCCAGCCAUGCCGCGUGAGUGAAGAAGGCCUUAGGGUCGUAAAGCUCUUUCGCCAGAGAUGAUAAUGACAGCAUCUGGUAAAGAAACCCCGGCUAACUCCGUGCCAGCAGCCGCGGUAAUACGGAGGGGGUUAGCGUUGUUCGGAAUUACUGGGCGUAAAGCGCGCGUAGGCGGAUUAGUCAGUCAGAGGUGAAAUCCCAGGGCUCAACCCUGGAACUGCCUUUGAUACUGCUAGUCUUGAGUUCGAGAGAGGUGAGUGGAAUUCCGGGUGUAGAGGUGAAAUUCGUAGAUAUUCGGAGGAACACCAGUGGCGAAGGCGGCUCACUGGCUCGAUACUGACGCUGAGGUGCGAAAGUGUGGGGAGCAAACAGGAUUAGAUACCCUGGUAGUC